rnacentral:lncRNA from 1 species
GAUGCAUAUGGAGUUUGGUAUCAUAGAGUUUAAUUGAUGUUCUGUUUCGUUCUUAUUCAUCCCCCAUGAGUUUUAUAAAUUUUCAGUCUAUGUAUAGAGUUCCUUUUCUUGUUAGUGAUUUUGAUCACUUGUGCAAUGUAACUAGAAGGGGAAAAAAAAAGCUAACCCAACUUAAUCACAUGUUUAAUAUAACUUCUAAACUCUAAUUAACUAAAUGUAAGGCGGUUGGCUAAGUAUGUGGA